CUUAGACUUUCUUGCAAAUUUAAUUUUGAGGUUUUUGUUCUAUACAAGGCUCCACAUAUGCUAAUUCUUUGUAGAAGAUUAUUAUAUUAAAGUGUUUGUUUAUUUUAUAGUACUACACUCUUGAAUAGUAGGUAGUGCAGUGGAUUGGCAUCUUUUAUUCUGGAGUCACAAAUGGUAUUGCAACAUCUUUCUAACAGCAGAAAUUGGACCUCUAUCAUUUUGUAGGUCGCAGGAACGUUUUAGAGAGACGUGGUAGAAGCAACAGGACUAUUUGCAGAAACUUAGGCAAGAUGUUGUUACAAUAAGUUAGAUGCGGUUACUACUGUUGAUUGCUUGGAUUCCUGUGUGUUUCAGAUAUUGUCACUGCGUCUUUAAAAGGCAGCAGAGCUCUGUUUUAACUUUUUUUUGUAUCUGAAUUCUAAUCUUAAUGUAACACUUUAAAGGUGAUGACACAUGCGAGUAUCUUCUGUCCAGUGGGAGAUUUCUUGGAGAAAAAGUGUGGCAGCCCCACAGUUGUAUGAUGCACAAGUAUAAAAAUAGUGAAGCAAAAAAUUGCCUCAUAGACAAACAUAUUGCAUUUGUAGGAGAUUCUAGAAUUCGACAGCUGUUUUAUUCAUUUAUAAAACUCAUAAAUCCUCAAGUCAAAGAAGAAGGAAAUAAGCAUGGAAACAUUCCUUUUGAAGAUAAAUCUGCUUCAAUUAAAGUGGAUUUCCUGUGGUAUCCAGAAGUUAAUGGUUCUAUGAGACAACGUAUCAAAUCUUGGACUGAGGCUUCCACAGCAAAACCUCAUAUAAUUGUAGCAGGAGCAGCCACGUGGUCUAUCAAGAUUCACAAUGGCAGCAACGAAGCUCUCACACAGUAUAAAAUCAAUAUCACUUCAAUUGCACCUCUUUUGGAAAAAUUAGCGAAAAGUAGUGAUGUUUACUGGGUCUUACAAGAUCCUGUUUAUGAAGAUUUGUUGAGUGAAAGUCGGAAAAUGAUCACUAAUGAAAAAAUAGAUGCCUAUAAUGAAGCAGCUGUUCGUAUUCUGAACAGCAGCUCCCGAAAUUCCAAAGCUAAAGUUAAAGUGUUCAGUGUAUCGAAGUUAAUAGCACAAGAAACUAUCAUGAAGUCUUCAGAUGGCCUGCAUCUCCCUGAAUCAAGCAGAGAAACAAAUGCUAUGAUUCUCAUGAAUGUCUACUGCAACAAGAUUUUGAAGCCCAUUGAUGGCUCCUGCUGCCAGCCUCAGCCUCCUCUCACUCUGAUACAGAAGUUAGCUUUCUGUUUCUUUGCUUUGUCCGUUAUUGGAUAUAUAAUUAUCAAUUUAAUUCAUCGGAAUAAUUAUCGGAAGAACAAAUCAUGCGCUGAUUUGGAAAGCGGAGAGGAAAAGAAACCUGCCAUCAGUACUCCUACUGUUUCUACUCUAGAGAUGCUGUUACACUCGUUCUGCAAACUUGGUCUAAUCAUGUCCUAUUUUUAUCUAUGCGACAGAGCAAAUCUUUUCAUGAAGGAAAAUAAAUUUUAUACACAUUCAUCUUUCUUCAUACCAAUCAUCUAUGUCUUGGUUUUGGGGGUGUUUUAUACCGAAAAUACCAAAGAGACUAAAGUGUUAAAUAGAGAACAGACUGAUGAAUGGAAAGGCUGGAUGCAACUUGUUAUUUUGAUUUAUCAUAUCUCUGGAGCAAGCACGUUUUUGCCUGUGUACAUGCACAUUCGAGUUCUCGUUGCUGCAUAUCUGUUCCAAACAGGUUAUGGGCACUUCUCAUAUUUUUGGAUAAAGGGGGACUUUGGUGUAUACAGAGUGUGUCAGGUUUUAUUUCGUCUCAAUUUCUUGGUUGUGGUACUGUGUAUAGUGAUGGACCGACCUUACCAGUUCUACUACUUCGUGCCAUUAGUCACUGUCUGGUUUAUAAUCAUUUAUGUCACCUUAGCUAUAUGGCCUCAGAUAGUCCAGAAGAAAGCAAACGGGAACUGCUUCUGGCACUUUGGUUUGCUGCUGAAGCUGAUUUGCUUACUCCUAUGUAUAUAUUUUCUAUCAUAUUCUCAGGGUGCAUUUGAGAAGAUAUUUUCUUUUUGGCCACUGUCCAAGUGUUUUGAACUGAACGGGAAUGUCUAUGAAUGGUGGUUUAGGUGGAAGUUAGAUCGCUAUGUGGUUUUUCAUGGGAUGCUGUUUGCUUUUAUUUAUCUGGCACUGCAGAAACGUCAGGUGCUUUCAGAAGGAAAGGGAGAUCCUCUCUUCUCCAGCAGAGUUUCAAAUGUUUUAUUAUUUAUUUCAGUUGUAUCCUUUCUGACCUACUCUAUUUGGGCUAGUAGCUGUAAAAACAAAACUGACUGCAAUGAACUGCAUCCUUCUGUUUCUGUGGUACAGAUUUUAGCUUUCAUCCUCAUCAGGAACAUUCCUGGAUAUGUCCGCUCUGUAUACAGCUCAUUCUUUGCCUGGUUUGGCAAAAUUUCUUUAGAACUUUUCAUCUGCCAAUACCACAUUUGGCUGGCAGCAGACACGAAGGGGAUCUUGGUGCUCAUUCCUGGAUAUCCGAUGCUUAACGUUAUGGUCAGCACUUUCAUAUUUGUGUGUGUGGCACAUGAGAUUUCUCAGAUCACUAAUGAUCUAGCACAGAUUGUUGUUCCUAAAGAUAACCCAACUCUGCUGAAAAGGUUGCUAUGCAUAGCUGGAUUUUUUUCUGGACUACUACUCUUCUCAGCAAUUCAAGAUCGGUCAAGGCAUUAACUUAAAAACAUUCUUGAAAACUUUCUUCAGGUUUACUUUCUGUCUACCUGAAAAAAAAAUUCUCAACUGGAGGUACAAGAAGACAUUUAAAUGAAGUGUGUGAAAAAUGUAUAUAGUGGAAAUGUACAUAUUUUGUGUGGGAAUAGCCUUCUUCUCUCAAAGAAUCUGAGAAACAGAAAUGCACUGUACAGAAUUGCAUGUGAAAUUAAGUCUUUUCUACUGGAUACAAAUUUCUGUUUACAUAUCUGUUUAAACGUAAUAUGAAGAAGUGAAGUUAGAUGGUUUACCAAAACCGUAUGGAUAUCACGGAAUUAACUUUACCUUGGGACAAUGGAAUGAAUGGUGGAUAUUUACUAGUGUACUGCAUAUACAUAACAUACUGUAAUCACUCUCAUCAAGGAACUGUUUUUGUAAGAAGCCAGCAAACCUGUGAUCCUUAGUUAAUGGGUACCUUUGGCUGAUGUGAAACAUGAAGUUACUUCUCUGGUAAUCCAGGGUAUUUUUCUAAACAAAUGGUAAUUUCUUGUUGUGGAACGAGUAUUUUUCGAUGCAGCUAGUAUAUGCUAUAUGAAACCCUUUAUACAUUGAAACAAAAAGUCAUCACCAGUUUAGUGAUUUAAGAUUAUACCCAAGUUUACAUAAUAUUUUGUUUUUAAGACAUUUUCAGCAAAUAUGGUGAAUUCUGAGAUUAAAUUAUUGUUAAAAAUAUGUACGCAAUUUUAUUUUCAAUUUUCCUAAAAUUCUUUGCUUUUUAAUGCUUUCCACUAAUUCAUUUAACUAUAUGCAGUUCUAUGUAGAAACUCAUUGAACAAACAGGUGAAUAAUUUUCAGAGACUCAGCUGAAUAUUGAGAAGUUCUGGAAAACUCCCAUCCUUUUGCAGUGAGAUGAAAUUCCAUCAUAUCCACUUCUUCAGAUUUUACAGAGAAGGAAGAGCAGGGGAACAGUCAUUUUUGAACCUGUCUCUCAGUUUGUAGGUGACUUUGAACUAGGUCUCAUUAGGAAGCUGGUGCCAUAUUCUAUCCUGUAAUAACAAACAUUUUCAUUUAAAAGGAUAGAAGUCAAUCUGUUGAUAGGAGGAUGAGGACUGAGUGGUGCUCUUGUUACAUGCCGCUAGUUCAGUCUCUUUAAAAUUUGAAUGAAAUGAGACUGAAGCUGUUUGAAUGAACCUGUUUUCCCAUGCUAUCUAGCAGUGCCUGUCCUUCACUACCACAAAUCAAACUCUGAACCCAGUUUUUCUCUUUAAAUCUUUCCUUCAGUAUAAAAAGUAAAAUUGAAAGAAUUAGCACUUCCAUAUGGAAGUGGCAAGUUGUAAUUUAAGUAGGUUCCACGUAUUCAGUGGAGUUACGAUGAUUCCUUCCUUGUUUGUAGUUUUGGUUCAAGUAAUGCGUUGAGCUUCAGUUACUUUUUCACUUUAUUCCUCUACUGAUUACUUUUUAGCAGUUGAAAAACGCGUACAGUAUUGUUUUCCAACCAUAUGUGCAAUUAUAUGUAAUUAUGAACAGUAUGAAUCUUAACUUAUACUGUAUGUAUUCCAGCACUUAACUGUUUUUGAUGUUAUCCGAGUUGAAACAUAGAAUUCAAACUUGGAGCCAAUAAUGACUCCGAAAUAAUUUCUGUGAAAUGGCUUCAAAUUUCGUUUCAGAAAAGAGAAUCCUUUAAGAAAGAUGGGUCCGUUCAAUCAGAAAAAGAAAAAAUAUUCAUUCAACCCCCCCAAAAUGGAGCAGUUUUGCUAAGUCAGCCAGCUAUUUUGAUAAGCUAUUGGAAAGAUACUCAACUAUGUGUUAAUGUGUGUACAUUAUUUCCAAUGUUUGGGAAGUUAUCCUCAUUUAUCAGUACAUUUGAAUUACUGAAAGGAAUGGUAUAGGUGAACACUGUAGUGGUGGAUAGGAUGCAUAGCCUUCAUCUGUACCAGCAUUAGGAGCAAUGGAGAACUGUGAGUUUGAGGGAUAUUUUUUUGUUUUGUUCUUCACAAGCUAAGUAUUGUAGAUAAAAUUUUAUUUAUCUGUUGUACAGAUUUGGUUAAAAGAUUUAUUUUUAAUGUUUGAAAUAAUGCACUUGUUUACUGUAUGUGGGAUAAAUAUAUUUUCUUUUAAGGUUAUGUGAAACUAUGAAGUAAUUUAAAUAUUAAAUAAAUGUGCUGUGGAUGCUUAUUUUUGUAAUGGGAGGAGCAUCAAUUAAGUAAAAACUUUUUAUUGCUUGACUCUAGCUGGGCUACAGUUCACUGUUACGCCAGCCUUAAAUUACAGAUUUGUGGUGCAAUGUUUCUCGAAAUGUUAUUCUGGAUACCGUUUCUUCAAAUAUUUAUUUUCAAAGGGAAGAUAUUUACUCACAUAUCACAAAUGAUUUUGGGUGCAAUGCAGGGAAGAAAGACUCUCUGCAGUAACUCAGACUGCUCAGUUGCCAUGACUGUAACAUUGGGGUUAAAAUAGCCCUCUUCUGUGUUUGGUCCUUCCAGAUAGGACUGUUCAGAAGUUAAUGAGAUUACCGAUCCAGUAACCAGAAUCACCCCCCGAGCCAAGGGCCUCCGGCAGAACUCUGCAGCGGAGGUCUUGAUUCCUUCUCCCUGGGUUAAAAGCCAGAAACUCCUGAGGUCAAGUCCUGCAGGAAAGCACAGUAACCAACUGUACUUCUUUGCAGGAUGGGUUUCCUGAUGUUGCCAUACUGAAAUCUUAAUUGAGUUAAGGAGUUUAGCUUUUUAUUUAGCUACUUAGGUCUCAUAUAGUUAAUAGAGGGAGGGACUCCUCAAGCAAAAGAUUCAAAGCAGUAUAUUAUUUCAUCUCAUCUCCAGGGGCAUUCCUCUCUUGAUUAUACCGGGGCUCUGGGACUAUCACACCUGGACUUGGCACCUGACAUAAGGGGUGUGAAUACUUUCCAUCCUUUCUGAGUUACAACAUCAGUGUGGGUAUCUCUCCCAGUGAAACAGAAACCCUGCGCAAUCAAUCAGCUCCAGUUCUUUGCUUCUUUAUCACUGUCCAUGAUACUAACUACUGUAACAAGAAGUUGUGCAGGCAUCAUUACAUAAUAAACAGGCACCAACAUCACUACUUAAUUUAAUGUUUUUCCUAUUUAUUAGAUUUUACAUUUCAUAUAUUUACAAAGACAUCAUUAAUGCUUUCUAUUUAUUUUGGUUGCAACUGUCACUUAAUCAUUACACUACGGUUCAUACUGUCAUUGUACAUGGUUAAAAAGAGGCUGUGAAUUUACUGUUUUAACUAUCAUCAAUUUUAAAUAUUAAACAAUUAAGUGGCUUUAGCCAGCUUUAUAAAUCUACAUUUCUGUGGUAAAUAGUUUAAUAAAUCACUUCUUAUUAAGCUUAGCUAAAAUGAAUGAAGCUUUUAACCAUAAAAUCAUUCCAGUAUGUGUAACACCCAAGUUGUCUACAUCACUAGAUUCUUUUCAGAAUAUAUGGAGCACUCACUGGUACAAACUAAUUAUUUAUGUACGUAACAGUUUAGGAAAUUUCCUUAAAUAUAUUGGCACUGUUGUAUAUUAAUACAAAUAAGAUAAGAAUGGCUUGAUUUAACUGAUUGUCAAGCCAUCCAAAAAUUAUUAGAAAUCUUUAUGAUCCAAAACCAAUACUACUCACAAAGUUUAGUUUUCUGUUGAAUUAAAAAUCAUUAUUAUUUAAAAUCCAUUCCAUUCAUUUCUGUGUCAGCACACUGAGAGCUUAUGCAUUUAUAAUUAGGGGCAAAAAUCCAAAUGUUGGUUGUACUCAAGUUUUUCACAGCUUUGAUGAGAAAGGUACCUUUUUUUUUUUCUUUAAUUUAGUAUAAAAUCUCACAGUUGACUACCUGGCUUCUAAUUCCUUUGGCACUGAAAGUCUGCAAUGUUAAUUUUUCAACGUAUGGUGUGACAGGUUAAGCUGCCUCUUGUAGUGUAAGAGCAACUGUCACCAUUGAUACGGCUAGGUGACUUUAUGUUAAUGUAGUCUGUGUUGUGAUUAGAGUUUAGGCUGUCCUUGGCAACUGUGACCCAUCGGGCUGGACAAUGCACAAGUAUGAAAAAAAUUAUUUUUGUCUUGUUUGAAAUAUAAAUUGAGUGUGUUUCUCUGCAAUGAGCACUGAUUAUAUAUUUUGCUGCACUUUUUAUUGGGUCUAUUGCACAAAUGUAGCUAAAAAGAAUUGCAGCACUGCUAUUAACUAUUAUCAUCUGCCACGGUAUUGCAUUUGGGUCCAAUCCUAUAACUACAUCAUUGUUCACUUAAAAAGGAAUAGCCUUUCUGAAAUUAAAAGAAAAAAAAUCAACUGUUUUCACAAAACAGGGGGCCAUAACUGUAAAAAGCCAGUGACUACUUUGGUCCUUCUGUGAACAGAGUAAAAACCUUAUUCUACAGUUUCUUCUCAGCCUCAGUCUUGAAGCCCUAAGGGAGUCUGAAUUUCUCUGCGCAAAGUACUGGUCAGGAAGGAACUGCUUAGCUAAGAAAACAUAGCCAGCAUGUAGUAGUAAUUUUAACAUAGGUGCAGCUUUGUGCUUAAACUUCAGUGGCCUGAUGAACACACAGCUCCUGAAAGAGAGAAUAUUACAGAAAAACAAAGCACAAAUGUCAGCUAAAAAGCGUAUGAUCCUUUAGGGUAAAACCCGAAGACCUGUUGGUAUCAGCUGUUACAGCAGAAGCCUUCAAUCCUGUGUUACGCUGUAGUUGAAUGAGGAUUUAUACAAGCAUCAGAAAAACUAAUUAUUUCAAAAUGUCACUUGAGAUAGAUAAAUUAUCACCAUCUAGUGACAAAUAAGGAAACCUCAGUCUGAACCUAUUUUUUUUUAAUCAAGCUUAUAUUUUUAAGAAUUCAGUAUAGAUGAAUGCCUCUCAAAGUAACUAAGUCAAAGGUCCCUCAAAGGGACUUAAAAGUUAUUCCAUAUAUGCUACAACAAAAUUUACCAUUAUUUAUUUAAAAGACACUCAUUUCUGCUUACAAUGAUUUGUAACAGUUUCUUCUAACAUAAUCAGAUGAAUGAAUGGACAGAUUUUAAAUGUUUUAAUGCUUAUAUCUUAUCAAAUUUGUUAAAUGUUUGGUAGAGGAACAGAAAUCCAACUUUCCCCAUGAAUCGUUAAGCUUUUUUCAAAAAUAACUUUGCUCAUUACUUUUUUCUUAUCUCUAGAAAAUGAAUGUCUAAUAAAUCUGGAAUACUAUUUCUAAGCCUUUGCACAAGAUUUCAUCCUUACAUACUACUGCUUUUUGUGUGCAAAUGUAAGGCAAUCA